AUUGAACGCUGGCGGCAUGCUUUACACAUGCAAGUCGAACGGUAACAGGCCUUCGGGUGCUGACGAGCGGCGAACGGGUGAGUAAUGCAUCGGAACGUACCCAGAGGUGGGGGAUAACGCAGCGAAAGCUGCGCUAAUACCGCAUGUGAUCUGAGGAUGAAAGCGGGGGACCGAGCAGCAAUGUUUGGCCUCGCGCCUUUGGAGCGGCCGAUGUCGGAUUAGCUAGUUGGUGGGGUAAAGGCCUACCAAGGUGACGAUCCGUAGCUGGUCUGAGAGGACGACCAGCCACACUGGGACUGAGACACGGCCCAGACUCCUACGGGAGGCAGCAGUGGGGAAUUUUGGACAAUGGGCGCAAGCCUGAUCCAGCAAUGCCGCGUGCGGGAAGAAGGCCUUCGGGUUGUAAACCGCUUUUGGCAGGAACGAAACGGUGUCCGCUAAUACCGGGCGCUAAUGACGGUACCUGCAGAAUAAGCACCGGCUAACUACGUG
rnacentral:rRNA from 1 species